rnacentral:rRNA from 1 species
CAGUCGCCACGGGAAUACGAAGGGUGCAAGCGUUAAUCGGAAUUACUGGGCGUAAAGCGCGCGUAGGUGGUUUGUUAAGUUGGAUGUGAAAUCCCCGGGCUCAACCUGGGAACUGCAUUCAAAACUGACUGACUAGAGUAUGGUAGAGGGUGGUGGAAUUUCCUGUGUAGCGGUGAAAUGCGUAGAUAUAGGAAGGAACACCAGUGGCGAAGGCGACCACCUGGACUAAUACUGACACUGAGGUGCGAAAGCGUGGGGAGCAAACAGGAUUAGAUACCCCUGUAGUCCCUGUCUCUUAUAA